rnacentral:rRNA from 1 species
GACGAACGCUGGCGGCGUGCUUAACACAUGCAAGUCGAACGGAAAGGCCCUGCUUUUGUGGGGUGCUCGAGUGGCGAACGGGUGAGUAACACGUGAGUAACCUGCCCUUGACUUUGGGAUAACUUCAGGAAACUGGGGCUAAUACCGGAUAGGAGCUCCUGCUGCAUGGAGGGGGUUGGAAAGUUUCGGCGGUUGGGGAUGGACUCGCGGCUUAUCAGCUUGUUGGUGGGGUAGUGGCUUACCAAGGCUUUGACGGGUAGCCGGCCUGAGAGGGUGACCGGACAAAUGGGGAAUGGGAAACGGCCCAAAACCCUAGGGGGGGCAAGAGGGGGGAAAAUUGAAAAAGGGGCGGAAGCCGGAUGCAGAAACGCCGGGGGGGGGAAGACGGCCUUGGGGUUGUAAACCGCUUUCGCCUGUGAAGAAGGGGGGGGGACGGUAAGGGGUAAAGAAGCAACGGCUAACUACGU